rnacentral:rRNA from 1 species
UUGGAGGGCAAGUCUGGUGCCAGCAGCCGCGGUAAUUCCAGCUCCAAUAGCGUGUAUUAAAGUUGUUGCAGUUAAAAAGCUCGUAGUUGAAUUUCGGGGUCAGUAGGCUGGUCGUGCCUCAGGUACGUACUGGUCUUACUGAUUCCUCCUUCCUGACGAACCGUAAUGCCAUUAAUUUGGUGUUGCGGGGAAUCUGGACUGUUACUUUGAAAAAAUUAGAGUGUUUAAAGCAGGCUAACGCUUGAAUACAUUAGCAUGGAAUAAUGAAAUAGGACGAUCGAUCCUAUUUUGUUGGUUUCUAGGAUUGACGUAAUGAUUAAUAGGGAUAGUUGGGGGCAUUAGUAUUCAAUUGUCAGAGGUGAAAUUCUUGGAUUUAUUGAAGACUAACUACUGCGAAAGCAUUUGCCAAGGAUGUUUUCAUUAAUCAAGAACGAAAGUUAGGGGAUCGAAGACGAUCAGAUACCGUCGUAGUCUUAACCAUAAACUAUGCCGACUAGGGAUCGGAUGAUGUUAAUUUUUUAAUGACUCAUUCGGCGCCUUACGGGAAA